CUGGAAUGAUUUGCAUGUAAAUAUCGCUUGGACUAUCAAUUGGAGGGCAAGUCUGGUGCCAGCCGCCGCGGUAAUUCCCGCUCCAUUAGUGUAUAUUAAAGUUGUUGCGGUUAAAAAGCUCGUAGUUGGAUUUCUGUUGGGUAUCGCGUGGUCUGCUCCUCCAGUACGUAUCUGCCUCGAUCCCGGCAUCCUCGCAACGCUCUGUGGCAUUAAUUUGCUGCUUGGCUUGCGACUUUUACUUUGAGGAAAUUACAGUG
rnacentral:rRNA from 1 species